UACGAAGGGGGCUAGCGUUGCUCGGAAUUACUGGGCGUAAAGCGCACGUAGGCGGCUUCUUAAGUCGGUGGUGAAAUCCUGGAGCUCAACUCCAGAACUGCCUUCGAUACUGGGAAGCUCGAGUCCGGGAGAGGUGAGUGGAACUGCGAGUGUAGAGGUGAAAUUCGUAGAUAUUCGCAAGAACACCAGUGGCGAAGGCGGCUCACUGGCCCGGUACUGACGCUGAGGUGCGAAAGCGUGGGGAGCGAACCGG
rnacentral:rRNA from 1 species